GACGAACCGUGCGAACGUUGUUCGGAAUCACUGGGCUUAAAGGGCGCGUAGGCGGCCCGUCAAGUCAGGGGUGAAAGCCCCCAGCUCAACUGGGGAAGGGCCUUUGAUACUGGCGGGCUCGAGGGGGGUAGGGGCGGACGGAACUUCCGGUGGAGCGGUGAAAUGCGUUGAUAUCGGAAGGAACGCCGGUGGCGAAAGCGGUCCGCUGGGUCCCCUCUGACGCUGAGGCGCGAAAGCCAGGGGAGCAAACGGG
rnacentral:rRNA from 1 species